rnacentral:lncRNA from 1 species
AUGCUGGGGGGGCGCUGGGAGGGACUGGGGGGCACUGGGAGGAAUUGGGGGGCACUGGGAGUGGACUGGGAGGGACUGGGGGCUGUGAGGGUGGGGCACUGGGUGUUACUGGGCCAUACUGGGAUGGACUGGGCCGUACAGAUUGUUACUGGUCCAUACUGGUCCAUACUGGGAGCCGCAGGUUCCCAUUCCCAUCCCAGCACCGCAGCCUUGCGGGGUUGGCAGCGGGGUCAGCCCGGUUUGUGGCAGCCUACAGCGGUGUGGGGCGCUCCGUACUGGUUUAUACUGGUCUGUACUGGUUUAUACCGGUCUGUACUGGUUUACACUGGUCCGUACUGGUUUAUACCGCUCCGUACUGGUUUCUGGUUUAUACCGGUCUGUACUGGUUUACACUGGUCCGUACUGGUUUAUACCGCUCCGUACUGGUUUAUACUGGUCUGUACUGGUUUACACCGGUCUGUACUGGUUUAUACCGGUCUGUACUGGUUUACACUGGUCCGUACUGGUUUAUACCGGUCCGUACUGGUUUACACUGGUCUGUACUGGUUUAUACCGGUCCAUACUGGUUUAUACUGGUCUGUACUGGUUUGCACCGGUCUGUACUGGUUUAUACCGGUCUGUACUGGUUUACACUGGUCUGUACUGGUUUACACUGGUCCGUACUGGUUUAUACCGCUCUGUACUGGUUUACACUGGUCUGUACUGGUUUACACCAGUCUGUACUGGUUUAUACCGGUCUGUACUGGUUUACACUGGUCUGUACUGGUUUACACUGGUCCGUACUGGUUUAUACCGGUCUGUACUGGUUUACACUGGUCUGUACUGGUUUAUACUGGUCCAUACUGGUUUACACCGGUCCGUACUGGUUUAUACCGGUCUGUACUGGUUUAUACUGGUCCGUACUGGUUUAUACUGGUUCGUAUUGGUUUAUACCGCUCCGUACUGGUUUAUACUGGUCCGUACUGGUUUACACCGGUCUGUACUGGUUUACACUGGUCCGUACUGGUUUAUACUGGUCCGUACUGGUUUACACCGGUCCGUACUGGUUUACACCGGUCUGUACUGGUUUAUACUGGUCCGUACUGGUUUACACUGGUCCGUACUGGUUUAUACCGAUCCAUACUGGUUUAUACUGGUCCGUACUGGUUUACACCGGUCCGUACUGGUUUACACUGGUCCAUACUGGUUUACACCGGUCUGUACUGGUUUAUACCGGUCCGUACUGGUUUACACCGGUCCGUACUGGUUGAUACUGGUCCGUACUGGUUUACACCGGUCCGUACUGGUUGA